ACCUCCUAUCCUGUGCGUGUUCUUGGUUUCUUCCUGCUGGGGCUGUGUAGACAUGUAGACAGGCAGUGGUGUGGCCCUCAGCUGCGGUGGGCCUCCCGGAGUCUUGGGCAUCACCGGCAGAUGCACAGCUAGGCAUGGCAGGGAGGGUGAAGACAGUACUCAGCAGCACAGCACAGCCCAGACUGCCUGACAGAUGAUGGGGACACAGAGAGCUCCAAGAAGCUAAGGAGGAGCCAAGGCCCAGAGAAAGAAGAGAGAGAUUUGGAUACAGCAACACAGAGGGAACACAAAGAAGAAGGCCAUGUGAUGAUGGAGGCAGAGAUUGGGGCUGGCUGAUGCUACUAUAAACCAAGGAAAGCAAGGAUUGGCAGGGGCCACCAGAAGCCAGGAAGAGGCAAAGAAAGGCUCUCUCCUAGUGCCUUUGGAGGGAAUAUGGCCACCUUUGGAGGGUAUUGCCACCUUGAUUUCAGACUUCUAGCCUCCAGAAUAGUGAGAGAAUAAAUUUCUGUUGUUUAAGCCAC